AACGCUGGCGGCGUGCUUAACACAUGCAAGUCGAACGCGAAAGGGACUUCGGUCCUGAGUAAAGUGGCGCACGGGUGAGUAACGCGUAGAUAACCUGUCUUCAUGUCUGGAAUAAUACGCCAAAGGGGUACUAAUACCGGAUAUUCUUGCUUUUCAUAAGUUAUGCAAGCAAAGGUGGCCUCUGCAUAUGCUACUGCAUGAAGAGGGGUCUGCGUACCAUUAGCUAGUAGGUGGGGUAAUGGCCUACCUAGGCGACGAUGGUUAGCGGGUCUGAGAGGAUGAUCCGCCACACUGGCACUGGAACACGGGCCAGACUCCUACGGGAGGCAGCAGUGAGGAAUAUUGCGCAAUGGGGGAAACCCUGACGCAGCGACGCCGCGUGAGUGAGGAAGGCCUUCGGGUCGUAAAGCUCUGUCAAGAGGAAAGAAGUGUACAAUGGCUAAUACCUGUUGUAUUUGACGGUACCUCUAAAGGAAGCACCGGCUAACUCCGUGCCAGCCGCGGC
rnacentral:rRNA from 1 species